GGGAACUCUGACCUUGCGGAGGAAACUUGUUUCCCUUUUUUUCUUCCCGCCGACUUUCACUCGAUAAAACCCUGCUUUAUUCACCCUUUAAACCUUCUCCAAACCUAAAUUUUCCUGGCCUUGGGACGGACAAGAACCCAGUCUUCAGAUGAAGGAAGGAAAAGUCCUGCAACAUUCUUGGCGUGCAACGUUGGGGCUCUUGAAGAGCUCCAGAAUUGGGAUUCUAUUUUCAAGGAAUGUCCUAGACAACAUGGCAUUAUUAAUUGAAAAGGAAAUAUAUUCCAGAAAUCUAUUCUGUUACCAGCUGUAUCAGAAUUCCACAGUGCAUCUGGUUCUUGGGCAAGUCACUGAAACGUGGGUCAAAUGUUGAAAGCUACUGUACUGUGAUGUGAAAAUAAAGGUAAGGACAAUAUACUUUAAUACAUAAAUUAUAGAUGGCUAAAUUUUAAGAAUUUUCUCUUAUUCUAAAAUAUGUUCUUCUGACUUUACUGUUAAAAUUUUCUUUUAUGAAAUCCUGGUGCUAUUAAAGGGAGGGAUUUAUUCAUUUACUUAUUUUUUAUGUCCAGGUUUGAAAAAAAGUAAAAAUGAGAAAGUCC
rnacentral:lncRNA from 1 species